GAUGAAGAAAGUAGCGAAAUGCGAUACUUUGUGUGAAUUGCAGAAUCCCGUGAACCAUCGAGUCUUUGAACGCAAGUUGCGCCCGAAGCCAUUAGGCCGAGGGCACGCCUGCCUAGGCGUCACACGUCGUUGCCCCCCCAUCUACUCCUUCGGGAUUGCGGGGGGCGGAUGAUGGCCUCCCGUGCGCCUCGUCGCGCGGUUGGCAUAAAUGCCAAGUCCUCGGCGACGCACGCCACGACAAUCGGUGGUUGCGAAACCUCGGUUGCCCGUCGUGUGCGGUCGUCGCGCAUCGAGGGCUCGAAAAAAUUGCCGGGCUCCGGCUCGGCUUUCAACGCGACCCCAGGUCAGGCGGGGUUACCCGCUGAAUUUAAGCAUAUCAAUAAGCGGAGGA
rnacentral:misc_RNA from 1 species